AUUGAACGCUGGCGGCAGGCUUAACACAUGCAAGUCGAGCGGGGGAAGGUAGCUUGCUACCGGACCUAGCGGCGGACGGGUGAGUAAUGCUUAGGAAUCUGCCUAUUAGUGGGGGACAACAUCUCGAAAGGGAUGCUAAUACCGCAUACGUCCUACGGGAGAAAGCAGGGGAUCUUCGGACCUUGCGCUAAUAGAUGAGCCUAAGUCGGAUUAGCUGGUUGGUGGGGUAAAGGCCUACCAAGGCGACGAACUGUAGCGGGUCUGAGAGGAUGAUCCGCCACACUGGGACUGAGACACGGCCCAGACUCCGUCGGGAGGCAGCAGUGGGGAAUAUUGGACGAUGGGGGGAACCCUGAUCCAGCCAUGCCGCGUGUGUGAAGAAGGCCUUAUGGUUGUAAAGCACUUUAAGCGAGGAGGAGGCUACUUUAGUUAAUACCUAGAGAUAGUGGACGUUACUCGCAGAAUAAGCACCGGCUAACUCUGUGCCAGCCGCCGCGGUAA
rnacentral:rRNA from 1 species